AACGAACGCUGGCGGCAGGCCUAACACAUGCAAGUCGAACGCCGUAGCAAUACGGAGUGGCAGACGGGUGAGUAACGCGUGGGAACAUACCCUCCGGUUCGGAAUAACUAAGGGAAACUUGAGCUAAUACCGGAUACGUCCAAGGUUUUAAUCCGCCUUGGAGAAAGAUUUAUCGCUGGAGGAUUGGCCCGCGUCUGAUUAGCUUGUUGGUGAGGUA
rnacentral:rRNA from 1 species